GUAGAAGUUGAACUGUUUCCUCUGAAGUUCCUGCAGAUUUCGUGUGUGGAGUUGGAGUGUUCAUCUAAAAUGUAUAUAUAGCUAGGAACCCUAAUAAGAAAAGCAUAUAUUUGGUCCCUAGAGAAGGUCCCGAAAUCGUGUCAGCGUGAAAAGUCAGAACUAGGUUUUAGCAAAAUCCACACUAAAUCCAUAUGUUGCAUUUGCAUACAUGGGACACAAGAAUCUCGUAGGUGCUUCACAGGAAACAGUUCAAUGUUUGCUG
rnacentral:pre_miRNA from 1 species